UCCUGAGGCUUCUAGUUCUUUGUCUUUGGCGCUGCCACUUUUAACGAAAAAAGCCCCGAUUACUGCGCUCCAAACCAAAAUUCUUUUACUUCCUCUCAUAAAUUCUCAGACGAGAGAGGACCCUUCUUCUCCAACUCCUCCACUUCCUCGGACCUCACUUCUUUUGUUCAAAUUUUCUCUUCAAAGUCGCCUUCUUUCGGUGUUUCAACUUCCCAAUUCACCAGUUCAUGAAUUCUCGCAUCAUUCGGGAGACUCCGAGAGGGACAGGAUCACCUUGACAGAGUUGAUCAUUGAGCAUAAGUUCAAAUUUAUAGGUGUGGGACCUGUGGUAUUGUUGGUGAAUUAGGGCGUUAUCAAGCUACUUGUUGAUCUAGAUUAAGAUUAUAACAGGGAACACAUUUGAAAUUGCUUUGUUCUGCCUCAAGAAAAGAAGUUUCAAGUUCUGAAAAAGCAUAUAAUAUUAGCUUGAAGUUGAUAUUUGCAGGCUCCUAUAAAAAAGCGCUGAAAUAUGACCUUAUAAAUGAGGGGAGAGUUCGAUCCUUUAAUCCAUACUUGUAAGAGAUUAAUAUCUGAUCAUUUGAACGAUGUUCAUUUUCACAUGUAAUCAUGUUGGAUAGUGACGAAAAUGUUGAUAUUACUAAAGAUCGAAGGUAGUCACGAGAUGAGGAAAAA